rnacentral:rRNA from 1 species
AGCGAACGCUGGCGGCAGGCUUAACACAUGCAAGUCGAGCGGGCGUAGCAAUACGUCAGCGGCAGACGGGUGAGUAACGCGGGGGAACGUACCUUUUGGUUCGGAACAACCCAGGGAAACUUGGGCUAAUACCGGAUAAGCCCUUACGGGGAAAGAUUUAUCGCCGAAAGAUCGGCCCGCGUCUGAUUAGCUAGUUGGUGAGGUAACGGCUCACCAAGGCGACGAUCAGUAGCUGGUCUGAGAGGAGGAUCAGCCACAUUGGGACUGAGACACGGACCAACCUCCUCCGGGAGGCAGCAGUGGGGAAUAUUGGACAAUGGGCGCAAGCCUGAUCCAGCCAUGCCGCGUGAGUGAUGAAGGCCCUAGGGUUGUAAAGCUCUUUUGUGCGGGAAGAUAAUGACGGUACCGCAAGAAUAAGCCCCGGCUAACUUCGUGCCAGCAGCCGCAGUAAAAC